AUGACAUCAUCCGAUCUGAAAAAGGAGAUGAGCGUUGAAGUCACUAUGAUGACUGCUCGAGGUACACCAAGGUUGAGCCUCCUCAAAAAAGCUGUCGAAAGGGAUAGAGCAUCACCUCCUACAAGCAGUGUGACAAAGAGGAGGAGAGGGUCUCCCAAAGAAGAUAGAGCACAGUGGAAUGCAAGCCUUGAGAAAGAUCUUGUGGACUUGCUUCGUGAGCAUGAUACACCUGAACAUAAGGGUCAAAAUGGAUGGAGCUCAGAAGCAUGGAAUACGAUAGUGAAGAAAUUCCACCAAAAGAAUCCUUAUGCUAGGUACGAGAAUAAGAAAAUCCAAGAAAAGGAAAAAGAGUUGAAAAGAGAAUACAAGAUGAUCAAAGAGAUAAGGAAGCAAAGCAGCGUUUCAUGGGACGACCGACAGUGCAGGAUUCUAGCGGAUCCACCACUUUGGAAAGACAUCAUCAUAUCACACCCUAAAGCUGGAAAGUUCAAGACAAAAGGCUUCCCUCUUUUUGAAGCUUUGGGAGAAUUGCAUGAUGGCCAAACUGCAUAA
rnacentral:rRNA from 1 species